rnacentral:rRNA from 1 species
ACAGAGGUCUCAAGCGUUGUUCGGAAUCACUGGGCGUAAAGGGUGCGCAGGCGGCGCGGAAAGUCAGAUGUGAAAUCCGGAGGCUCAACCUCCGAAUAGCAUCCGAUACUUCCGCGCUUGAGAGUUGUAGGGGAGCUUGGAAUUCUCGGUGUAGCAGUGAAAUGCGUGGAUAUCGAGAAGAACACUCGCGGCGAAGGCGAAGCUCUGGGCAACAUCUGACGCUCAUGCACGAGGGCUAGGGGAGCAAACGGGAUUAGAUACCCCGGUAGUCCUAGCUGUAAACGGUGCGCGCUUGGUGUGGCGGGUUUCGACCCCUGCCGUGCCGCAGCUAACGCGUUAAGCGCGCCGCCUGGGAAGUACGGUCGCAAGAUUA